GAAAAAGACAGGAUGAGUCACCUUUGCCCUGUCUCCUCUUCAAGUCUGAUCCUAAUUGAACGGAGAGUGCAAACUGCACGCCAAGAUUUGCAGAACAAAGGCCUCCCCGCCCACGAGUUCCUCAUGGCCUUGCCUCAGUCCCCGAAAUCCCGCUGUUAGCCUCCCUCACUAGAAUAAGGCAUUAGCACAGAAGCCAACGUUGGGGGAAAAGAAAAUCAAUACAGCGUGGAAGAGAAAGCAGGAAGCCAUGGAGGGAGGAAGAGACUGAGGCUCCGGCUGGAAGGACUUCGUUUGUGAUAAGAGCAGAGAGGAAAAGCAGCAAGAAAGAAAAGUCGCUGUACACUUUGGGUCUGGACAUCAAAGAAACAAAGGAAAUGCUUAGAUUCAGAGUGGCACGUGUGUAGAAAAAAGUCCUGCUUUCCUGUCUUGGGGGACACCACUAUCAUCCCAUGGCUGAGACCUGCGUCUGGUCCCUGCUAGACACCCAGCGAGGGUUGACAGCAUGAGCGAAUGAGCUUCUCCGUCUGCCCGUAAGUGUGAUGGACACCUUCUCCUACAGCCACCCGUUUCACACAUCAGGCAAACGUCUGUCAAGUCCACUCCUGAAAAUCCUGGU
rnacentral:lncRNA from 1 species